AUCCAGAUGACGAGUCCCAAAUAGGAUGAAACGAUCGUCCUGGAU
rnacentral:hammerhead_ribozyme from 1 species